UACAGAGGUCUCAAGCGUUGUUCGGAUUCAUUGGGCGUAAAGGGUGCGUAGGUGGCGGGGUAAGUCAGGUGUGAAAUCUCGGGGCUCAACCCCGAAACUGCACUUGAUACUGCCUUGCUCGAGUACUGGAGAGGAGAUUGGAAUUUACGGUGUAGCAGUGAAAUGCGUAGAUAAUCGUAAGGAAGACCAGUGGCGAAGGCGAAUCUCUGGACAGUUACUGACACUGAGGCACGAAGGCCAGGGGAGCAAACGGG
rnacentral:rRNA from 1 species